rnacentral:rRNA from 1 species
AACGCGAAGAACCUUACCUGGGUUUGACAUCUCCUGACAACCAUAGAGAUAUGGCUUCUGUAGCAAUACAGCAGGAAGACAGGUGCUGCAUGGCUGUCGUCAGCUCGUGUGGUGACAUGUUGGGUUAAGUCCCGCAACGAGCGCAACCCUUGUCCUUAGUUGCCAGCAUUCAGUUGGGCACUCUAGGGAGACUGCCGUGGUUAACACGGAGGAAGGUGGGGAUGACGUCAAGUCCUCAUGGCCUUUAUAUCCAGGGCGACACACGUGAUACAAUGGACGGUACAGAGGGACGCCAAGAGGCAACUCGGAGCUAAUCUCAAAAAGCCGUUCUCAGUUCGGAUUGGAGUCUGCAACUCGACUCCAUGAAGUUGGAAUCGCUAGUAAUCGCGAAUCAGCACGUCGCGGUGAAUACGUUCCCGGGCCUUGUACACACCGAUACUC